AAAUAUACUUCAUGAUUUAUUUAAAACCUUUAUUUAAAGGACAAAAAACCCAAAGUGAUUUCACUGAUAAUCUUCACAAAGGGACACCUGACACACAGUUCCAAGGGAGGUUCCUCAAUUAGCAGGUUAUCUGGUAACAGGCUACGGUAUCGCGAUGAGUAUGAAAGGUAUGAAAGGAGCUUUUAUGAAAGGAAUAAAGACAGCGCGGCCCAACAGGGAUGUGCUGUCGCUUCUUAGGUCCGUGUUGAACUUUACAGACGACGCCAAAGAACAAAGAGCUGUCAUCAGCUACGGUUAAUGUUGUGACAGGACACGGCGAAACAAGAGAGGCAUCAGGGUAAAGGUUAAGGUCAAAGGUCACUGCUGGAUGCAAGUGAUCGUCAAGCCCGAAGGAAGAACUGCUGUAGCGUUGGACAGAGACCAAGAAAACAAGAUCCCUGAGACCAAGUCAUCCACUGGAGUGUGACACAGAAUCUGGACGUACUCUGAUUGGACAGGACGAGGGAGAGCUUUGUUGGCUCAGUCCACUAACACCAAACCACCUGCAGCUGCUCUCCUAUAAUAAAACAUUCAUUACAUCCUUA